rnacentral:SRP_RNA from 1 species
GGGAGAGCUAGGCUGGCGCGCUUGUCCUGCGUUGUUACUGUGAACGGACAUUACACAGAGCCGAAGCCCAAUUAAGGGCCGAUUUUGUUUUGUUGGUCCCUGUUAUCUUUGCUGACGGCUUGUCCUUUGGGAUGGGCGUGCUGGGAAUUUGGUCAGAUCAGGAAUGAAGCAGCCAUAACCUUUACGUUCCAUGUUCAGAGGGUUGCAAGUCCGAGAAGUUUCAGGGAGUCAAUCAACGAGGCUUAGUUGGUUCGACUGCGGGUGUGCCCC